rnacentral:rRNA from 1 species
UGCGUAGGUUGAUGGGUAAGUCAGUGGUGAAAUACUCCGACUCAAUCGGAGAACUGCCGUUGAUACUAUCCAUCUUGAAUACGGUGGAGGCGGGCGGAAUGCGUCAUGUAGUGGUGAAAUACUUAGAUAUGACGCAGAACACCCAUUGCGAAGGCAGCUCGCUACACCGGCAUUGACACUGAGGCACGAAAGCGUGGGGAUCAAACA